rnacentral:rRNA from 1 species
AUUGAACGCUGGCGGCAGGCCUAACACAUGCAAGUCGAGCGGAGCGGCGGACGGGUGAGUAAUGCCUAGGAAUCUGCCUGGUAGUGGGGGAUAACGUCCGGAAACGGGCGCUAAUACCGCAUACUCUCAGAUGAGCCUAGGUCGGAUUAGCUAGGUGGGGGGGUAAAGGCCUACCAAGGCGACGAUCCGUAACUGGUCUGAGAGGAUGAUCAGUCACACUGGAACUGAGAAACGUUCCAGACUCCUACGGUAGUCAGCAGUGGGGAAGAGUGGACAAUGGGCGCAAACCUGAUCCAGCCAUGCCGCGUUGGUGAAGAAGGUCUUCGGAUUGUAAAGCACUUUAAGUUGGGAGGCGUUACCAACAGAAUAAGCACCGGCUAACUUCGUGCCAGCAGCCGCGGUAAUUC